rnacentral:lncRNA from 1 species
GACGUCAUCAAGGCCUUCGCCAACACCGGCGUCGAGCUCAUGGUCGGCGUCCCCAACUCCGACCUCCUCGCCUUCGCGCAGUACCAGUCCAACGUCGACACCUGGCUCAAGAACAGCAUCCUCCCCUACUACCCGGCCACCAUGAUCACCUACAUCACCGUCGGCGCCGAGGUCACCGAGAGCCCCGUCAACGUCUCCGGGCUCGUCGUGCCCGCAAUGCGAAAUGUGCACACCGCACUCAAGAAGGCCGGCCUGCACAAGAAGAUCACCAUCUCCAGCACGCACUCUCUCGGGAUACUGUCCCGGUCCUUCCCGCCGUCAGCAGG